rnacentral:lncRNA from 1 species
GCAUGCCGGGCCAGUGAAAAUAACGCCACGCCUGCGCGAAGCACGCAGCACAGUCACAGCUAAAGCUGGAAGAGCGGCCUUUCUAGAGC